AGUGAACGCUGGCGGUAGGCCUAACACAUGCAAGUCGAACGGCAGCACAGUAAGAGCUUGCUCUUACGGGUGGCGAGUGGCGGACGGGUGAGGAAUACAUCGGAAUCUACUUUUUCGUGGGGGAUAACGUAGGGAAACUUACGCUAAUACCGCAUACGACCUACGGGUGAAAGCAGGGGAUCUUCGGACCUUGCGCGAUUGAAUUAGCCGAUGUCGGAUUAGCUAGUUGGCGGGGUAAAGGCCCACCAAGGCGACGAUCCGUAGCUGGUCUGAGAGGAUGAUCAGCCACACUGGAACUGAGACACGGGCCAGACUCCUAAGGGAGGCAGCAGUGGGGAAUAUUGGACAAUGGGCGCAAGCCUGAUCCAGCCAUACCGCGUGGGUGAAGAAGGCCUUCGGGGUGUAAAGCCCUUUUGUUGGGAAAGAAAAGCAGCAGGUUAAUACCCCGCUGUUCUGACGGUACCCAAAGAAUAAGCACCGGCUAACUUCGUG
rnacentral:rRNA from 1 species